rnacentral:rRNA from 1 species
CCCCGUCAAUUCAUUUGAGUUUCAAUCUUGCGAUCGUACUUCCCAGGUGGGAUACUUAAUGCUUUCGCUCAGACACCAACAGUGUAUCGCUGAUGUCGAGUAUCCAUAGUUUAGGGCGUGGACUACCAGGGUAUCUAAUCCUGUUUGAUCCCCACGCUUUCGUGCCUCAGUGUCAAUAUUCGUGUAGCCAGCUGCCUUCGCAAUUGGUGUUCUAUGUCAUAUCUAAGCAUUUCACCGCUACAUGACAUAUUCCGCUAACCUCCACGAUAUUCAAGACUGAUAGUAUCAAUGGCAGUUCCCAAGUUAAGCUCGGGGAUUUCACCACUGACUUACCAACCCACCUACGCACCCUUUAAACCCAGUGAAUCCGGAUAACGCUUGCACCCUCCGUAUUACCGCGGCUGCUGGCACGGAGUUAGCCGGUGCUUAUUCAUAUGGUACCGUCAGACGAGUUAGAAAACCCUUUUUUCGUCCCAUAUAAAAGAAGUUUACAAUCCAGAGGACCUUCAUCCUCCACGCGGCAUGGCUGGUUCAGACUUUCGUCCAUUGACCAAUAUUCCUUACUGCUGCCUCCCGUAGGAGUCGGGCCCGUGUCUCAGUGCCCGUGUGACUGGUCGUGCUCUCACACCAGUUACUGAUCGUAGGCUUGGUGGGCCGUUACCCCGCCAACUACCUAAUCAGCCGCACACCCAUCUUUAAGUGAUAAAUCUUUAAGAGUAAGGAGAUGCCUCUUCGCCAUACUAUGGGGUAUUAAUCCGGGUUUCCCCGGGCUAUUCCCCGCUCAAAGGAAGGUUGUGUACGUGUUCCGCACCCGUUUGCCGGUCGCCAUCAACUGUAUUGCUACAGUCAUGCUGCCCCUCGACUUGCAUGUAUUAAGCCUGCCGCUAGCGUUCAUCCUGAGCCAUAAUCAAACUCU